UUACACAUGCAGUCGAACGAUGAACCACUUCGGUGGGGAUUAGUGGCGAACGGGUGAGUAACACGUGGGCAAUCUGCCCUUCACUCUGGGACAAGCCCUGGAAACGGGGUCUAAUACCGGAUAACACUUCCGCACUCAUGUGCGGGGGUUAAAAGCUCCGGCGGUGAAGGAUGAGCCCGCGGCCUAUCAGCUUGUUGGUGAGGUAAUGGCUCACCAAGGCGACGACGGGUAGCCGGCCUGAAAGGGCGACCGGCCACACUGGGACUGAAACACGGCCCAAACUCCUACGGGAGGCAGCAGUGGGGAAUAUUGCACAAUGGGCGAAAGCCUGAUGCAGCGACCCCGCGUGAGGGAUGACGGCCUUCGGGUUGUAAACCUCUUUCAGCAGGGAAGAAGCGAAAGUGACGGUACCUGCAGAAGAAGCGCCGGCUAACUACGUGCCAGCAGCCGCGGUAAUACGUAGGGCGCGAGCGUUGUCCGGAAUUAUUGGGCGUAAAGAGCUCGUAGGCGGCUUGUCACGUCGGUUGUGAAAGCCCGGGGCUUAACCCCGGGUCUGCAGUCGAUACGGGCAGGCUAGAGUGUGGUAGGGGAGAUCGGAAUUCCUGGUGUAGCGGUGAAAU
rnacentral:rRNA from 1 species